CGGCGCGCCUAACACAUGCAAGUCGAGCGAGAAGGAAGCAAUUCCUGUAAAGCGGCGCACGGGUGAGUAACACGUAGGUAAUCUACCUCGAAGUGGUGGAUAAACCUUCCGAAAAGGAGGGCUAAUACAGCAUGAGACCACGGUUUUCGAAAAGAGAUUGAGGUCAAAGCGGGCCACUAUACAUAAGCUCGCGCUUCGAGAUGAGCCUGCGGCCCAUCAUGGUAGUUGGUAGGGUAAUGGCCUACCAAGCCGAAGACGGGUAGCUGGUCUGAGAGGAUGAUCAGCCACACUGGAACUGAGACACGGUCCAGACUCCUACGGGAGGCAGCAGUGGGGAAUCUUGCGCAAUGGGCGAAAGCCUGACGCAGCGACGCCGCGUGAGUGAUGAAGGCUUCGGGUUGUAAAGCCCUGUCGGAGGGGACGAAGUCUUCGGAUUGACGGUACCUUCCAAGAAAGCACCGGCUAACUCCGUGCCAGCAGCC
rnacentral:rRNA from 1 species